UUUCCGUAGGUGAACCUGCGGAAGGAUCAUUAUUGUAUAACCGAGGUGCGAGGGCUGUCGCUGACCCGACAGGUCGUGCACACCCGAGUGCCCUCACACACAUUCAUCUCACCCCUAUGGGCACCACCGCGUGGGUCCCCCUUUGGCUUGUUCGGAGGGGGGCUUACGUUUUCACACAAACUUUGUAUGCAGUGUAGAAUGUAUUUUUUGUUUUUGCGAUCACGCAAUCAAUACAACUUUCAACAACGGAUCUCUUGGCUCUC
rnacentral:misc_RNA from 1 species